AUCACGCGUCAGGAGAGCGCGUGGCCGCUUCAUGACAGCUCAUGUAAGCCGGGCCGCGCCGCCGAAGGGGCAUACCUGCAAACUCUCAGGCAAAAGGACCGACCGCGUCGG
rnacentral:ncRNA from 2 species